AUGUCUCAGCACUUCAAUCUGCCGGCGGAGGAAGCGCCUGCCGAUCUUCUAAACAGUGGGCGCCAAUGGUUAGAAUCCACCGCUGUCAUGCCGCCGCCGGAUGGUCUCGGUCUCGGAAUCCCCUGCCCGGAGAAGAACAGCUGCUGCGAGACGGAGGCGCUGGACUGUAAUAACCAGCCGACACCUUCUUCAGAUUCAGUUAUCCUCUGGGACGACACGGAGGGCAAGAUUAGUCCGUCAGCCACCUUGGAUGACGCAGGUUCAGAUCGUACCCGCAGCGCAUCUCCUCCUCGCAGCCAUGUUUCUACUGCUGCUGCUGCUGCCACGGAUGAUGGCAUUGCCAUCGGCCCCGCUGCGGUUUGCCCGCCUGCUCCGGUGGCCGCACCACCAAGGGUCCCAUGCGAAGCGUGGUGGAAGAAGACCUUCUCGUUUCUGGGCAGCAACGCCAGGGAGUCUCUCACCUUCCGCUUUGUCUUCGUCGCCGACAAGCUGCAGCUCAGGCUUGAAUUCGGUGUCGACGGCCAGGUGAAAGAAUGCCAUUUGCGUAGUCAAAUAGACCAUGCUAUUAUUGUGUAG
rnacentral:rRNA from 1 species